UAGGGAAUCUUCGGCAAUGGGGGCAACCCUGACCGAGCAACGCCGCGUGAGUGAAGAUGGUUUUCGGAUCGUAAAGCUCUGUUGUAAGUCAAGAACGGGUGUGAGAGUGGAAAGUUCACACUGUGACGGUAGCUUACCAGAAAGGGACGGCUAACUACGUGCCAGCAGCCGCGGUAAUACGUAGGUCCCGAGCGUUGUCCGGAUUUAUUGGGCGUAAAGCGAGCGCAGGCGGUUUGAUAAGUCUGAAGUUAAAGGCUGUGGCUCAACCAUAGUUCGCUUUGGAAACUGUCAAACUUGAGUGCAGAAGGGGAGAGUGGAAUUCCAUGUGUAGCGGUGAAAUGCGUAGAUAUAUGGAGGAACACCGGUGGCGAAAGCGGCUCUCUGGUCUGUAACUGACGCUGAGGCUCGAAAGCGUGGGGAGCGAACAGGAUUAGAU
rnacentral:rRNA from 1 species